rnacentral:rRNA from 1 species
CCUAACACAUGCAAGUCGAACGGUAACGUUUCUAGCUUGCUAGAAGAUGACGAGUGGCGGACGGGUGAGUAAUGCUUGGGAACUUGCCUUUGCGAGGGGGAUAACAGUUGGAAACGACUGCUAAUACCGCAUAAUGUCUUCGGACCAAACGGGGCUUCGGCUCCGGCGCAAAGAGAGGCCCAAGUGAGAUUAGCUAGUUGGUAAGGUAACGGCUUACCAAGGCGACGAUCUCUAGCUGUUCUGAGAGGAAGAUCAGCCACACUGGGACUGAGACACGGCCCAGACUCCUACGGGAGGCAGCAGUGGGGAAUAUUGCACAAUGGGGGAAACCCUGAUGCAGCCAUGCCGCGUGUGUGAAGAAGGCCUUCGGGUUGUAAGGCACUUUCAGUUGUGAGGAAAAGUUAGUAGUUAAUACCUGCUAGCCGUGACGUUAACAACAGAAGAAGCACCGGCUAACUCCGUGCCAGCAGCCGCGGUAAUACGGAGGGUGCGAGCGUUAAUCGGAAUUACUGGGCGUAAAGCGCACGCAGGCGGUUUGUUAAGCUAGAUGUGAAAGCCCCGGGCUCAACCUGGGAUGGUCAUUUAGAACUGGCAGACU